UGGGACGCCUAGACGCGGCAGCGGCGACGGAAGGCAGCGCCGAGCAACGGGGGCGGUUGGACGCGGCAGCAGUGGAGGCAGGGAGCGUGCCCGAGCGAGGAGAGGUCAUCGGCGGCUGGUGCCCUGUGUACACAUCGGGAGGAGGAUCUGCCGUCGGCCUCACGUUUGUGCAUCGUGCACCCUCCCGGCUGCCGGUGCGUCGAGGGUGGAUUGGCUCUGCUCAGGCAGGUGGCGGGCACCAUACUUGCUUCCAAGACUACGAGCACCACCUCUCGUCUUCCUCCCGAUCAAAAUCUUGCCAAAAGUGAGGGACUGCUCCUGGAAGGAAAAGAGGACAGGAGUGGCACGGGGCAUGGACGUCGCGUGGACAUCACGGUGCCGCCACAUGCGCACCACCAUGAGGUCCAUCUCUUGAUGCCGCUUUGGUGUUGAGUGUGCUCCAUCAUGAGCAAGGAAGCGAGCAGGUACAUAGGGGCGUCAAUUAAAACGGGACAGAGGGGCUAGAAAAGAACAUGCAAGUCAAGUGACUGAUUUUUGUAGCAGAGAUGUUCACGGGCUAGAAGGAACAACCUAAGUUGAGGCAUUUCUACAUAAAUAAGAAGGUUUCUGCACGUCCAAGUGUUGUUUAUGGUGGUACCUAUGUGCUAAAUAAGCCAAAUGGUCAGGUAGUUCUUAUCCCUUCUAU